CACGCCCUUUACGGGGCAGGGGUUUCGACCUACUAUUUACGUGCUUAGGAUGUUGGCAUAAUGGCAUUAAGCGACCCGUCUUGAAACACGGACCAAGGAGUCUAACAUAUCUGCGAGUAUUUGGGUGACAAACCCGAGUGCGCAAUGAAAGUGAAUGCAGGUGGGAAGCGCAAGCUGCACCAUCGACCGGUCUGGAUUUUUUAAUGAUGGAUCUGAGUAAGAGCAUAUAUGUUGGGACCCGAAAGAUGGUGAACUAUGCCUGAAUAGGGCGAAGCCAGAGGAAACUCCGGUGGAGGCUCGUAGCGAUUCUGACGUGCAAAUCGAUCGUCAAAUUUGGGUAUAGGGGCGAAAGACUAAUCGAACCAUCUAGUAGCUGGUUCCUGCCGAAGUUUCCCUCAGGAUAGCAGAGACUCGCAUCAGUUUUAUGUGGUAAAGCGAAUGAUUAGAGGCAUGGGGGUUGAAACAACCUUCACCUAUUCUCAAACUUUAAAUAUGUAAGAAGCCCUUGUUACUUGAUUGAACGAGGGCAUGCGAAUGAGAGUCUUUAGUGGGCCAUUUUUGGUAAGCAGAACUGGCGAUGCGGGAUGAACCGAUCGCGAGGUUAAGGUGCCGGAAUACACGCUCAUCAGACACCACAAAAGGUGUUAGUUCAUCUAG
rnacentral:rRNA from 1 species